rnacentral:lncRNA from 1 species
AAAGGAAUACAAUUCAGACAGAAAUUUGUCAAGAAGACCCGCAGAGGCUGAAGAAAUAACAUCACAAAUCAUGAGUCUACCCAAGGGCACGUCUGUUCCCAAGAAUUUAUCUUUGGUUUUGCUACCCAGAAGAAAAAGAAGACCCUGGUGGCACUGUGUGCUCAUAAAACAAAAGAGAAGAAAUAAAUUAUGAAAAAGAAACUUUCGGAGACAGGGAUAGUUCAUUUGAUUCUUGCAAUGAGGAGGGGACAAAUUACUGCAGGGAGCAGUGACUGAGAGCAUGGAAAUGAUGAUCAACCACUCUGGGGCAUGUGUGGUCUCUCUCUGCUCCUUCAUCUCAUGGAAACAUGUUUCUACGUGCAUGUAUUCAGCCACAGCCACACACAGACGGAGAGCUAAGUACCACCAGCCUAGGUGGGAGCUGGAAACUUGUGCAAGGAGGUGAAUCAGAGGCAGGCUACUUGUCCAGAAAUACUCUGUCCCGGAUCCCCAUCUCCAGCUGUGUCCGUUUGCAGUCAGACCAGCGGCUGCCUCCUCCUUCCUCCCCAGCCCAGCAGCACGGCAGGGACACGGCUCUGGGCCCAGGGACCACUGCGGGCAUCACUGGGCCAGCACAAGGGGUGGAGAUGGCCAAAGACAAGAGAAGAAAGGGGGAAGCUGGGAAGCAGAUUAUCUGUGUAUUGACAGAACUGUUUAUUUGCUCCUGGCAAAAAUAAACCCUGGCGUAUAUUCCCUCUAGCGUUUUCAUAUUUAUAAAAAUUGAAAGCCUAAUCUGUCGCCAAGACCCAUUAUCCUCUGACUUCAGUCAGACAGUAUAUCUUAUGGAAUUAGGGAAUGUAAUAUUUUUUAUGAGGACAGAAGGGAAAAGAGAUGUUUACUAUUGUACCCUUCCUCUAUUUAUUAGUGUCUGUAACUACCACCAACAUCCAAAUGAGGUAUCUUGUGUCUUAGCCCCAGUGGGACUAGACAAAUAAAUAAGUCAAUAACAUCUAUCGGAAAAUAAUU